rnacentral:rRNA from 1 species
GGAAUUCGUGGUGUAGCGGUGAAAUGCUUAGAUAUCACGAAGAACUCCGAUUGCGAAGGCAGCUUGCUGGACUGUAACUGACGCUGAUGCUCGAAAGUGUGGGUAUCAAACAGGAUUAGAUACCCUGGUAGUCCACACAGUAAACGAUGAAUACUCGCUGUUUGCGAUAUACAGUAAGCGGCCAAGCGAAAGCGUUAAGUAUUCCACCUGGGGAGUACGCCGGCAACGGUGAAACUCAAAGGAAUUGACGGGGGCCCGCACAAGCGGAGGAACAUGUGGUUUAAUUCGAUGAUACGCGAGGAACCUUACCCGGGCUUGAAUUGCAACUGAAUGAUGUGGAGACAUGUCAGCCGCAAGGCAGUUGUGAAGGUGCUGCAUGGUUGUCGUCAGCUCGUGCCGUGAGGUGUCGGCUUAAGUGCCAUAACGAGCGCAACCCUUAUCGAUAGUUACCAUCAGGUGAUGCUGGGGACUCUGUCGAGACUGCCGUCGUAAGAUGUGAGGAAGGUGGGGAUGACGUCAAAUCAGCACGGCCCUUACGUCCGGGGCUACACACGUGUUACAAUGGGGGGUACAGAAGGCAGCUACACGGCGACGUGAUGCUAAUCCCUAAAGCCUCUCUCAGUUCGGAUUGGAGUCUGCAACCCGACUCCAUGAAGCUGGAUUCGCUAGUAAUCGCGCAUCAGCCACGGCGCGGUGAAUACGUUCCCGGGCCUUGUACACACCGCCCGUCAAGCCAUGAAAGCCGGGGGUACCUGAAGUGCGUAACCGCAAGGAGCGCCCUAGGGUAAAACUGGUGAUUGGGGCUAAGUCGUAACAAGGUAGCCGUACCGGAAGGUGCGGCUG